AGAGUUUGAUCCUGGCUCAGAACGAACGCUGGCGGCGUGGAUUAGGCAUGCAAGUCGAACGAGAAAGGGUUCGCAAGAACCCGAGUAGAGUGGCGAAAGGGUGAGUAGUACCUAGGUAACCUGCCCGGAAGACGGGGACAACGUCGUGAAAACGACGCUAAUACCCGAUAUGUCGGCGAGAUCGCAUGGUAUUGCCGGCAAACGGUAGCCUCUAUUUAUAAGCUUCCGCUUUCGGAGGGGCCUCGGGCCUAUCAGCUAGUUGGCGGGGUAACGGCCCACCAAGGCAGGGACGGGUAGCCGGUCUGAGAGGAUGGUCGGCCACACUGGGACUGAGACACUGCCCAGACUCCUACGGGAGGCUGCAGUCGAGGAUCUUCUGCAAUGGGCGCAAGCCUGACAGAGCGACGCCGCGUGGGGGAGGAAGGCCUUCGGGUUGUAAGCCCCUGUUGCCGGUUAAGAAUGGUAGGGUGCGAAUAGCGCUACUACUUGACAAAGGCCGGUGAGGAAGCCACGGCUAACUACGUGCCAGCAGCCGCGGUAAGACGUAGGUGGCAAGCGUUGUUCGGAAUCACUGGGCAUAAAGCGCGCGUAGGCGGCUAAGCAAGUCGGGUGUGAAAGCCCUCGGCUCAACCGAGGAACUGCGCCCGAAACUGCUUGGCUUGAGGGCCGGAGGGGAGAGUGGAAUUCCCGGUGGAGCGGUGAAAUGCGUAGAGAUCGGGAAGAACGCCGGCGGCGAAAGCGACUCUCUGGUCGGUACCUGACGCUGAGGCGCGAAAGCUAGCGGGAGCAAACGGGAUUAGAUACCCCAGUAGUCC
rnacentral:rRNA from 1 species